rnacentral:tRNA from 1 species
AUCCCUGUAGCGCAAUGGAUAGCGAGUUGGACUUCUAUUCCAAAGGUCGUAGGUUCGAAUCCCACCUGGGAUG